GUCCCUGUCGCGCAAUGGACAGCGCGUUGGACUUCUAAUCCAAAGGUGAUGGGUUCGAAUCCCAGCUGGGAUG
rnacentral:tRNA from 1 species